rnacentral:rRNA from 1 species
GAUGAACGCUGGCGGCGUGCCUAAUACAUGCAAGUCGAGCGAACAGACGAGGAGCUUGCUCCUCUGACGUUAGCGGCGGACGGGUGAGUAACACGUGGAUAACCUACCUAUAAGACUGGGAUAACUUCGGGAAACCGGAGCUAAUACCGGAUAAUAUAUUGAACCGCAUGGUUCAAUAGUGAAAGACGGUUUUGCUGUCACUUAUAGACGGAUCCGCGCCGCAUUAGCUAGUUGGUAAGGUAACGGCUUACCAAGGCAACGAUGCGUAGCCGACCUGAGAGGGUGAUCGGCCACACUGGAACUGAGACACGGUCCAGACUCCUACGGGAGGCAGCAGUAGGGAAUCUUCCGCAAUGGGCGAAAGCCUGACGGAGCAACGCCGCGUGAGUGAUGAAGGUCUUCGGAUCGUGAAACUCUGUUAUUAGGGAAGAACAAAUGUGUAAGUAACUAUGCACGUCUUGACGGUACCUAAUCAGAAAGCCACGGCUAACUACGUG